CCUCCACAUCACCGAAGAUUCACCAAUUCUUCUGCAUAAAACCUAGAUCGACGACUCCUUAAUCGUUCCUCUAACCAAUUUCUGUCACACUUUUGCUGUAUCAUGGCACGUAGGCAGAUGUCGUGGUUUAGUGGCAGGAGUCGGCAGAGGGCAAGGUAUAUGGACAAGCAACUACAGAGAAGCAAUGAUAUUUGGUGGUUUCAUGGGUGUGGUUGGAUUUAGG
rnacentral:lncRNA from 1 species